rnacentral:rRNA from 1 species
GAUGAACGCUGGCGGCGUGCUUAACACAUGCAAGUCGAACGAGAAAUGGAGACGGACACCUUCGGGCGGAAGGCUUCAUUUCGAGUGGCGGACGGGUGAGUAACGCGUGGGUAACCUGCCUCAUACAGGGGGAUAACAGUUGGAAACGACUGUUAAUACCGCAUAAGACCACAGCACCGCAUGGUGCGGGGGUAAAAACUCCGGUGGUAUGAGAUGGACCCGCGUUCGAUUAGCCAGUUGGCGGGGUAACGGCCCACCAAAGCGACGAUCGAUAGCCGAUCUGAGAGGAUGACCGGCCACAUUGGGACUGAGACACGGCCCAAACUCCUACGGGAGGCAGCAGUGGGGAAUAUUGAACAAUGGGGGAAACCCUGAUGCAGCGACGCCGCGUGAGUGAAGAAGUACUUCGGUAUGUAAAGCUCUAUCAGCAGGGAAGAAAAUGACGGUACCUGAGGAAGAAGCCCCGGCUAACUACGUG